rnacentral:misc_RNA from 1 species
CACGUUUAAGGUCAGGUCUUAAGUAAUUAAUCCAUCGGAGACGACAACUUUUACCGCAUCGAAGAAGUCCAGCAGCUUUAGGAAGAGACCUCCAACAACCUUCACCAUUAGCUCUAAUGUAAGAAAUUAGUCUUUCAUCUUCUUCUUUAGUCCAUGCUCCUUUGUUUGUAUGUGCCUUCUCACAACAAGGUGACCUUCCCAUUUAGACAAAUAAGAGUAUUUAAGAAACUAUACCUUUAUUUUUUUUGGUUUUUGCAAGUGUGAUAUACCAAUUGAGAGAAGGAUAAUGGAAGUUUUUUUUGG